rnacentral:rRNA from 1 species
GACGAACGCUGGCGGCGUGCUUAACACAUGCAAGUCGAACGAAAAUACCAAGCUUGCUUGGUUGAUUAGUGGCGAACGGGUGAGUAACACGUGAGUAACCUGCCCCUUACUUUCCUGGAUAACUGCUCGAAAGGGUAGCUAAUACGGGAUAUUCUGACCCGCCUGCAUGGGUUGGUUUGGAAAGGUUGUUUUUCUGGUAAGGGAUGGGCUCGCGGCCUAUCAGCUUGUUGGUGGGGUGAUGGCCUACCAAGGCUUUGACGGGUAGCCGGCCUGAGAGGGUGGACGGUCACACGGGGACUGAGAUACGGCCCAGACUCCUACGGGAGGAAGCAGUGGGGAAGAGUGCACAAUGGGCGCAAGCCUGAUGCAGCGACGCCGCGUGAGGGAUGAAGGCCUUCGGGUUGUAAACCUCUUUCGUCAGGGAACAAGGCACUGCUUUUGUGGUGGUGUUGAGGGUACCUGGAGAAGAAGCGCCGGCUAACUACGUG